UACGUAGGGCGCGAGCGUUUGUCCGGAAUCAUUGGGCGUAAAGAGCGUGUAGGCGGCCAGACAGGUCCGUUGUGAAAACUCGAGGCUCAACCUCGAGACGCCGAUGGAAACCGUUUGGCUAGAGUCCGGGAAGAGGAGAGUGGAAUUCCUGGUGUAGCGGUGAAAUGCGCAGAUAUCAGGAAGAACACCCGUGGCUAAGGCGGCUCUCUAGUACGGUACUGACGCUGAGGAGCGAAAAGCGUGGGGGAGCAAACAGG
rnacentral:rRNA from 1 species